CCUGGCUCAGGAUGAACGCUGGCGGCGUGCCUAAUACAUGCAAGUCGAGCGAACGGACGAGAAGCUUGCUUCUCUGAUGUUAGCGGCGGACGGGUGAGUAACACGUGGAUAACCUACCUAUAAGACUGGGAUAACUUCGGGAAACCGGAGCUAAUACCGGAUAAUAUUUUGAACCGCAUGGUUCAAAAGUGAAAGACGGUCUUGCUGUCACUUAUAGAUGGAUCCGCGCUGCAUUAGCUAGUUGGUAAGGUAACGGCUUACCAAGGCAACGAUGCAUAGCCGACCUGAGAGGGUGAUCGGCCACACUGGAACUGAGACACGGUCCAGACUCCUACGGGAGGCAGCAGUAGGGAAUCUUCCGCAAUGGGCGAAAGCCUGACGGAGCAACGCCGCGUGAGUGAUGAAGGUCUUCGGAUCGUAAAACUCUGUUAUUAGGGAAGAACAUAUGUGUAAGUAACUGUGCACAUCUUGACGGUACCUAAUCAGAAAGCCACGGCUAACUACGUGCCAGCAGCCGCGGUAAUACGUAGGUGGCAAGCGUUAUCCGGAAUUAUUGGGCGUAAAGCGCGCGUAGGCGGUUUUUUAAGUCUGAUGUGAAAGCCCACGGCUCAACCGUGGAGGGUCAUUGGAAACUGGAAAACUUGAGUGCAGAAGAGGAAAGUGGAAUUCCAUGUGUAGCGGUGAAAUGCGCAGAGAUAUGGAGGAACACCAGUGGCGAAGGCGACUUUCUGGUCUGUAACUGACGCUGAUGUGCGAAAGCGUGGGGAUCAAACAGGAUUAGAUACCCUGGUAGUCCACGCCGUAAACGAUGAGUGCUAAGUGUUAGGGGGUUUCCGCCCCUUAGUGCUGCAGCUAACGCAUUAAGCACUCCGCCUGGGGAGUACGACCGCAAGGUUGAAACUCAAAGGAAUUGACGGGGACCCGCACAAGCGGUGGAGCAUGUGGUUUAAUUCGAAGCAACGCGAAGAACCUUACCAAAUCUUGACAUCCUUUGACAACUCUAGAGAUAGAGCCUUCCCCUUCGGGGGACAAAGUGACAGGUGGUGCAUGGUUGUCGUCAGCUCGUGUCGUGAGAUGUUGGGUUAAGUCCCGCAACGAGCGCAACCCUUAAGCUUAGUUGCCAUCAUUAAGUUGGGCACUCUAAGUUGACUGCCGGUGACAAACCGGAGGAAGGUGGGGAUGACGUCAAAUCAUCAUGCCCCUUAUGAUUUGGGCUACACACGUGCUACAAUGGACAAUACAAAGGGCAGCGAAACCGCGAGGUCAAGCAAAUCCCAUAAAGUUGUUCUCAGUUCGGAUUGUAGUCUGCAACUCGACUACAUGAAGCUGGAAUCGCUAGUAAUCGUAGAUCAGCAUGCUACGGUGAAUACGUUCCCGGGUCUUGUACACACCGCCCGUCACACCACGAGAGUUUGUAACACCCGAAGCCGGUGGAGUAACCUUUUAGGAGCUAGCCGUCGAAGGUGGGACAAAUGAUUGGGGUGAAGUCGUAACAAGGUAGCCGUAUCGGAAGGUGCGGCUGGAUCACCUCCUUU
rnacentral:rRNA from 1 species